rnacentral:rRNA from 1 species
GUACACUCCUGCGGGAGGCAGCAGUGGGGAAUUUUGGACAAUGGGCGAAAGCCUGAUCCAGCAAUGCCGCGUGAGUGAAGAAGGCCUUCGGGUUGUAAAGCUCUUUUGUCAGGGAAGAAACGGUGAAAGCUAAUAUCUUUUGCUAAUGACGGUACCUGAAGAAUAAGCACCGGCUAACUACGUGCCAGCAGCCGCGGUAAUACGUAGGGUGCAAGCGUUAAUCGGAAUUACUGGGCGUAAAGCGUGCGCAGGCGGUUUUGUAAGUCUGAUGUGAAAUCCCCGGGCUCAACCUGGGAAUUGCAUUGGAGACUGCAAGGCUAGAAUCUGGCAGAGGGGGGUAGAAUUCCACGUGUAGCAGUGAAAUGCGUAGAUAUGUGGAGGAACACCGAUGGCGAAGGCAGCCCCCUGGGUCAAGAUUGACGCUCAUGCACGAAAGCGUGGGGAGCAAACAGGAUUAGAUACCCCAGUAGUCCCAUGA